rnacentral:rRNA from 1 species
GACGAACCGUGCGAACGUUGUUCGGAAUCAUUGGGCUUAAAGGGCGCGUAGGCGGGUGGACAAGUCAGGGGUGAAAGCCCACGGCUCAACCGUGGAAGUGCCCUUGAUACCGUCCGUCUGGAGGGAGGUAGGGGCGUGCGGAACUUCCGGUGGAGCGGUGAAAUGCGUAGAUAUCGGAAGGAACACCGGUGGCGAAAGCGGCGCGCUGGACCUCUUCUGACGCUGAGGCGCGAAAGCCAGGGGAGCGAACGGG